rnacentral:rRNA from 1 species
UACAGAGGUCCCAAGCGUUGUUCGGAUUCACUGGGCGUAAAGGGUGCGUAGGUGGUCGGGUAAGUCUGAGGUGAAAUCUCCGAGCCUAACUCGGAAACUGCCUCGGAAACUAUCCGACUCGAGGGUUGGAGGGGAGACUGGAAUGCUUGGUGUAGCAGUGAAAUGCGUAGAUAUCAAGCGGAACACCAGUGGCGAAGGCGAGUCUCUGGACAACUCCUGACACUGAGGCACGAAAGCCAAGGGAGCAAACAGG